rnacentral:misc_RNA from 1 species
GGAUUGCUGCGUUAGCGAUUGAACGGUUUGUUUGAGCUCCUUUUUGUUUUUCUCAAAAAGAGCGAGUAGUGAAAGCGCGACCCUUG